CCUACGGGAGGCAGCAGUAGGGAAUAUUGCUCAAUGGGGGAAACCCUGAAGCAGCAACGCCGCGUGGAGGAUGAAGGUCUUAGGAUUGUAAACUCCUUUUGUGAGAGAAGAUAAUGACGGUAUCUAACGAAUAAGCACCGGCUAACUCCGUGCCAGCAGCCGCGGUAAUACGGAGGGUGCAAGCGUUACUCGGAAUCACUGGGCGUAAAGAGCGCGUAGGCGGGAUAGCAAGUCAGAUGUGAAAUCCUAUGGCUUAACCAUAGAACUGCAUUUGAAACUGUUAUACUAGAGUAUGGGAGAGGUAGGUGGAAUUCUUGGUGUAGGGGUAAAAUGCGUAGAGAUCAAGAGGAAUACUCAUUGCGAAGGCGACCUGCUAGAACAUAACUGACGCUGAUGCGCGAAAGCGUGGGGAGCAAACAGGAUUAGAUACCCGGGUAGUC
rnacentral:rRNA from 1 species